AACGAACGCUGGCGGCGUGCCUAACACAUGCAAGUCGAACGAGAAAGUCCUUCGGAAUGAGUAAAGUGGCGCACGGGUGAGUAAUACAUGGGAACGUGCCUAUUGGUGGGGUAUAACUGCGGGAAACUGCAGCUAAGACCGCAUAAGGUCCACGGACGAAAGGUGGCAACUUCGUGUUGCUAUCGCCGAUAGAUCGGCCCAUGUCCCAUUAGCUAGUUGGUAGGGUAAUGGCCUACCAAGGCUACGAUGGGUAGCUGGUCUGAGAGGAUGAUCAGCCACACUGGAACUGAGACACGGUUCAGACUCCUACGGGAGGCAGCAGUGGGGAAUUUUGCACAAUGGGGGAAACCCUGAUGCAGCAACGCCGCGUGAGUGAAGAAGGCCCUUGGGUUGUAAAGCUCUUUCGGCCGAGAAAAAGGGUGUGCGUGCUAAUAUCACGCAUAUUUGAUGGUAUCGGAAGAAGAAGCACCUGCUAACUACGUGCCAGCCGCCGCGGUAA
rnacentral:rRNA from 1 species